CCCAGGGCUGGCAGAGGGGAACUUCUCUGCUUUUAUCUUUCAGGUUUGACUCCUGGCACUGACUUUGAUACUUGGAAUUUUGAGGUUCAGGGACUUCAGAGAAUUUGGCAGCACAGCGUAUUGGGAGAAACGGAAAUUUCAGGAGAUGGAUUGAUCACCCUGGUUGACAUGUUUCUGGAAGUGGCCUCAAAUAGAAAUGUGAAUCCAUAGGAGGCACUCAAGUAAUGCUUACUCAACAGAUGAAGACAUCCUCCUGUACUACUAUGAU
ensembl:lincRNA